CUCUGUCUCUCUCUGUCUCUCUCUCCUCUCUCUUUCUCACAUCGUCCUCGUCUCUUUUAGCUGGGCUCUACGUCCUGCAGGUGCGUUCAUAACGCCAUUAAUUAUUCACCCAAUCACGCCCAGCCGUCCUGGUACUGACCCGGGAUCAGGGUCCACCCAGCAGCUCGUCUGUCCCCGGCCCCGGUUUGACAGAGAGGCUGAUCUGGGAUCUGUCGGGGCCUCCAGCAGAGAACGCUCACUGCAGCAGAAAACAGCAGAAUCUCAUCUUACAGCUCCACUCGAUUAAAGGACAGGGACUCACUAAAGUGUGUGUGUGUGUGUGUGUGUGUGUGUGCUGCGUAUUUCUCUCUGGGUCCAGUGUUGUCCACUUAAAAAUCAAAAUAAAAACCUGUCUUUACCCGGUUUAUUUUGAAGUUUUCAAGCUUUUCUUUUUAUGCCGCAAAACAAGCAAAAAUGUGGUAAAAAGCCCGAUUCAGGUGCAUAUUCUGAAUACGCUCAAUACGUGUCCAAAGAAUGCUCCGAAAACCUAAUUUAUAUCGGCAUAUCUCACACGUCUUAAUGCUCCAUUCAGAAUCAGGCCUCAUUCAGAACAUCCUGUUUUAUGUCCGUCAGUGUUCAGACCACUGAGCUUUGUUUUGAUCCCAAAUCAGGACGUCAGGAUGAACGUCUAUUAUCUACGUGUGGUACAGCCAUUCAAAAAAGGAUCAUUUCAACAUUAUAUAGCGUCAAAAAGAGCCGAAACAAUCUGAUACUGAACAUAUACGGUAUAGACAGACAGUGGGGAGUAAGACGAUUCUUCCAACAGGAGGAUUUGUUGUGUGAUAUAUGAGGAUGUUUCUAAAAAUGUCAGAGCCCACAGAGUUCUUUCUGUGUUUUUUUUUGCUGGAACUGCACAUUUUCAAAUAGUUUCUGCAGAAGAGAACCAGCCCUGUAUUUGAAACAGACCUUCCAGACUGAGCUCAGUAGCUGCUGGAUUGAUUCGUGGUUCCCUGAGGAUGAAUCCUUUUCCUCGAGCGACACCGUGAGACAUUUGUGGUUCAGAGAGAAAUGUCUCCACAACUGUCGGAUGCAAUUUUUGGUGCAGACAUUCAUGCUCUUUGCAGAUUUUGGUGAUGGACUGACUGGUUUCAUCCAGUGACAGCAUGUGGUGCAGACGUCCCGUGUUGAAAACACGACCUCACAAGUUCCCUUUGAAGGCGGCGUUGACACUUUGUAUCUGUGUGUUAUCGCACGAUGCUCCUGCAUGUUGGGAGGAAACAGUCACGAUGGCAUAGCGAAGGUUUGACGUGUCACUUCCUGCUGGGGAUCUCGUGUGGUGGAGUGUGUCGGGUCUCAGAUGUUUCUGUCGCUGUGUGUCGGUGACGCAUGUGUACGUGUGUGUGUGUGUGUGUGUGUAACGCUUUGCUUUUGCUUCACCUGCUGCCCAGGUAACCCUAAGACCCCGCCCUGCCAUGCCAUUGGCUCCGCUCUGCCCAAUGAGCUUCCUGCUGCUUCCAGCGCCCAACAAUCCCAUAACGUUGGUGACUUCCUGUCUCCACCCGGGAUGGAUCAGCCAAUCAACAAGCAGCUCUCCAACUCGUCUGCUGCCCUCCACUCACCAGAGAGAGUGUCUUUUGUGUCCCAUCGAACAGCUUCCCCCAGCAACCACAGACCGAACAGAAGUUCCUCCAACCGCAGGAGCAUCGCUGGACUCCCCGAGGAGACGUCCAGAGCCAAGACACCCACGG